rnacentral:rRNA from 1 species
UACAGAGGGUGCGAGCGUUAAUCGGAAUUACUGGGCGUAAAGCGUGCGUAGACGGUCAAGUAAGUCGGGUGUGAAAGCCCCGGGCUCAACCUGGGAAUUGCAUUCGAGACUGCGUGGCUAGGGUGCGGAAGAGGGAAGCGGAAUUUCCGGUGUAGCGGUGAAAUGCGUAGAUAUCGGAAGGAACACCCAUGGCGAAGGCAGCAUACUGGCCGGCAUCUGACGCUGAGGCGCGAAAGCGUGGGUAGCAAACAGG